rnacentral:rRNA from 1 species
GACGAACGCUGGCGGCGUGCUUAACACAUGCAAGUCGAACGGAAAGGCCCUGCUUUUGUGGGGUGCUCGAGUGGCGAACGGGUGAGUAACACGUGAGUAACCUGCCCUUGACGUUGGGAUAACUUCAGGAAACUGGGGCUAAUACCGGAUAGGAGCUCCUGCUGCAUGGUGGGGGUUGGAAAGUUUCGGCGGUUGGGGAUGGACUCGCGGCUUAUCAGCUUGUUGGUGGGGUAGUGGCUUACCAAGGCUUUGACGGGUAGCCGGCCUGAGAGGGUGACCGGCCACAAGGGGCCUGAGAGAGGGCCCAGUGGCCUACGGGGGGCAGCAGUGGAGAAUAUUGCCCAAUGGGCGGGAGUGUGUUGCGGCAACCCUGCGAGCGUGAUGCCGGCUUUGGGGUUGUAAACCGCUUUCACCUGAUACGAAGCGUGAGUGACGGUAAUGGGUAAAGAAGCACCGGCUAACUACGUG